GAGAACAGACCGGCCCCUAAUCUAUAAAGCAGCAUCAGUCUGACCCGGAGGACGACCUGUGAUUCUGCAGCUCAGAAUCAGUCGCCUGGAUCAGUUGCAGCCGGGAUUGAAGAUUGGUCCGGAGGGAUUUGCAACAGAACUUGACUGGACUGACUCUCCCUCAUCCGUCCCUCAUCUGUUCAGUUUGAUUUUUACUCUUUUGCAAAAACUCCUGCUCUGAACCACAACGACAGACUCUCCAUGUACCUCUUCUACGUCACAGACUCUGGGGCUUCAUGCUAACUUCGUUAAGCUACGUUUUUCGGAUGCACUGAAGGCGGCCAUUUUCAUUUUUUGUCAUUUUGUGCUCUUUUGUCUCACCUCUCACUCCCUUUUAUAAAGAUCCUAAAAACAAGCAAACACAAUAUUAAACCUAUUUAUCCCCCUGAUCUUAAACUCCACUCUGCUCUGUGUAAAUAAAACCAGCGUAGCAGCAGCUGUAGCGCCGUAUCACGCCGUUUAUUCACUCCCGAUCUGUCGUCAUUAAGUGGAAGCAGACAUGAACAGGCCCGUGUUACGGUUCUGUGUUCACGGCUGAGCGAGCACGCUUCACUGAGUCACAGAUCAGUCAUUUAUUAUUUAUACCCCCUGAAAUGUUCAUUAACAUCUCAUAAAGUUUACAUUUAAGGACAUGAAUAGGAAGGUCGUGUUUUUCCGAUGUGAAAUGUUUUGUAAGAUAUCAGUCGGGCUCAGAUUAGCAUCUCAGAGACUUUGGUAAAGGGUUAGCUUGUAGCUUUAAGGUUAAAGGAGCUAGCUAGUUCUUUAAUUUUAGGAUCAUUUGAAGCUAAAGACGUUGGAGCCGGUCAAAACGUCUGGUUGAGAUAAGCUAACGAAUCAGAAUAGUUUAGCUAGGCUACACAAUUUGUUUAUUAAACUGCUAGGUUUGAUAUUAGCAGGUAAAAAAAUGUGUUUCAAGUUAUUUCUGAACAUUUGGUUCAGGCUAGCUAAAAGUUUUGUUCUGGUUAGCUAACAGAGAGAUAUAGCGGAUCUGAAGCCUGUUGUCAGUUAGCUAUUUUGACCAGUUCAGCUAACAUUACAGUUUUAACAUGGCUAACAAACAAUAAAACUAGUUAAGCUAAGCUAACUGAUACAUUUAGAAGAUAUAACAGCUUGCUUCAGGCUAGCUAAAUAAUUUCUUAUUCAAAGCUGUAUGAUUCAAAUUAGCUAAACGAUCUUAUUAGCAUGUCAAAAAGUAACGUAAAGGUUAGCUAAUAUGAGUUUGCAAUUUAAAACACAACCUGUAAGCUAACGCAGAAGUUAGCAACCAUUUUCCGCUGAGGUUAGCUAACGAAUCACCGAGCAGAUGAAUCACUCCACUUUAGCAAGCUGUUUUGAAGCUAUUACAGUUGCUACAUGAAAGCUAGCAGACAUGAUCACUGUAAAGAGCGAGCACGUGUUCACGUUAGCUAACAGUUCCUACGGUAGCUAGAACAGUUAAUCCACCUGAAUGCUAACAGAGCUUUUUAGCAGCCUAAAGUCGACUUAGGUUAGCUAACACAUCAGUUUAGCAAAUUUAACAUCCAUGUUAGCUCACGUCUUCUUUAGAAUCUAUUACAGAGCAGUUAACGAGUAUUAACAGUUAGCCAAGGUAAGCUAAUGGAUAAGGUAAGUGGAUGGAACAGUCCAUGUUAGCUCACAAUUUCUAUACAAGCUAUGACAGAGUGCUAAACCUGUCAGCUAACAGAGCAGUGAACACUCAUGAACAGUUGGCUAAGGUAAGCUAAUGUUAGCUCACCAUUCCUAUGUUAGCUAUAACCGUGCUUAACCUGCAAGCUAACUGAACAGUUAAAAUUCAUGGACAGUUGGCUAAGGUAAGCUAAUACUAGCUCACAAUUUCUAUGCUAGCUAUGGCAGAGUGUUACACCUGUAAGCUAACAGAGCAGUUAACAAGCACAAACAGUUGGCUAAGGUAAGCUAAUGUUAGCUCACCAUUCCUAUGUUAGCUAUAACCGUGCUUAACCUGCAAGCUAACUGAACAGUUAAAAUUCAUGGACAGUUGGCUAAGGUAAGCUAAUACUAGCUCACAAUUUCUAUGCUAGCUAUCGCAGAGUGUUACACCUGUAAGCUAACAGAGCAGUUAACAAGCACAAACAGUUGGCUAAGGUAAGCUAAUGUUAGCUCACCAUUCCUAUGUAAGCUAUAACCGUGCUUAACCUGCAAGCUAACUGAACAGUUAAAAUUCAUGGACAGUUGGCUAAGGUAAGCUAAUACUAGCUCACAAUUUCUAUGCUAGCUAUGGCAGAGUGUUACACCCGUAAGCUAACAGAGCAGUUAACAAGCACAAACAGUUGGCUAAGGUAAGCUAAUGUUAGCUCACCAUUCCUAUGUUAGCUAUAACCGUGCUUAACCUGCAAGCUAACUGAACAGUUAAAAUUCAUGGACAGUUGGCUAAGGUAAGCUAAUACUAGCUCACAAUUUCUAUGCUAGCUAUGGCAGAGUGUUACACCUGUAAGCUAACAGAGCAGUUAACAAACACAAACAGUUGGCUAAGGUAAGCUAAUGUUAGCUCACCAUUCCUAUGUUAGCUAUAACCGUGCUUAACCUGCAAGCUAACUGAACAGUUAAAAUUCAUGGACAGUUGGCUAAGGUAAGCUAAUACUAGCUCACAAUUUCUAUGCUAGCUAUGGCAGAGUGUUACACCUGUAAGCUAACAGAGCAGUUAACAAGCACAAACAGUUGGCUAAGGUAAGCUAAUGUUAGCUCACCAUUCCUAUGUUGGCUAUAACCGUGCUUAACCUGCAAGCUAACUGAACAGUUAAAAUUCAUGGACAGUUGGCUAAGGUAAGCUAAUACUAGCUCACAAUUUCUAUGCUAGCUAUGGCAAAGUGAUAUACCUGUAAGCUAACAGAGCAGUUAACAAGCACAAACAGUUGGCUAAGGUAAGCUAAUGUUAGCUCACCAUUCCUAUGUUGGCUAUAACCGUGCUUAACCUGCAAGCUAACUGAACAGUUAAAAUUCAUGGACAGUUGGCUAAGGUAAGCUAAUACUAGCUCACAAUUUCUAUGCUAGCUAUGGCAAAGUGAUAUACCUGUCGGCCAACAGAGCAGUUAACAAGCAUAAGAACUGGCUACAGUAAGCUAAUGCAUUAUGCAGAUAAACAGUCCAAAUUAGCCAACAAUUCCUGUAGCUGCUAACAGGGCACUUAACUGACACAAAAAGUUAGCAUAGGUUAGCUACAGAGCUAGUAUAUUUGAUUAGUGACAGUAACACAUCAGUUUGAUUAAACAGCUUUGUUUGGCUUUGUUAGCUAAGUUAGCAACGAAACAGCUCUAUCACGAGGGUGCUCAGAUAAAAGUUGUCGUUAGCUAAAGACUUCGUUAAGAUCGUUGUGGUUUAAAUGUGUUCGUACCGAAGUUUCUGGUUCUGGUCUUGGACUGAAGUUCCGGAAUGUUCGACGCCUUCAAAGCAUCAAAGCAAAGUGAACAUUCCAGAAGACGACUCGUUCCAUCCAGAGUUCCGCUCUACAUACGAUUUCUUUUUUUUAUAUUCUGUCACUGUUUUCUUGUUUAUGAUAACUUUUUAAUGUUUUUAUUUUAUCAACACUCUUUUAUUCGCUGUGUAUCAAAAUGUUUGUUUUAGUUUCAGACUGUUUCAACGGAGAGCAAAGAUCGUCCUCGAAGCCGCACGGGCGUGAGCGGCGCCACCCGACUGUAAAUAUGUUGAAAGCGUUCGUGUAAAAAAAGUAGCUGGUUUAAAAAAAAGACACUUGAAAAUAUUGAAAAUAUUUAUGUGUACAACAGAGACUCUUUGUACUUACAUAUUAUUUGAAAUUAAAAAACAAAGGUCAUGAAAUGUUAAAACUUGAACCCCUGUGUACAGACCCGUUCUGGAUCCAGCUCGUAGUUUCUGCUCACGGUGUCGUCGUGCUUGUGAUAAAUGUGUCUUUUUUUCAGUUUGUGUGUAGUAAAGAUAUUUUCUACGAAA